rnacentral:lncRNA from 1 species
AUAUAAGAAGAUAAAAACCUUUUGUGAAAGUCAAUACACUGUGAUACAAAGUGUCAAAGACUUCUUAAUCAUAUACAUUUUGUGAGGUACUUGCAGUAGAUGGUGUCGUUGAAUACAAAAAUCUAAAUUAAAUCCGACUUCGAUGACCCAUGGUUAUGAUUUCAAUUGGUACUUUUCUGUGAUGAAAUGAAAGGAUCAUGGAUAUUGGAUUAAAUACAAUAUAAAAAAGGAUAGUAACAUCAUUACAAGACAUACUAACUAACUGGAUUUGCAUAUUAAAUAAGAGAUGUCAAGUGAAAACGACAUUUGUUAAUAACUGGCAUCGAUAUAUCAUUUAUUAUACGUUAGUACUAACUUACUGGAUUUGCAUAUUAAAUA